rnacentral:rRNA from 1 species
AUUGAACGCUGGCGGCAGGCCUAACACAUGCAAGUCGAGCGGAGCGGCGUACGGGUGAGUACUGCCUAGGAAUCUUCCUGGUAGUGGGGGAUAACGUCCGGAAACGGGUGCUAAUACCGCAUCCUAUCAGAUGAGCCUAGGUCGGAUUAGCUAGUUGGUGGGGUAACGGCUCACCUAGGCGACGAUCCCUAGCUGGUCUGAGAGGAUGACCAGCCACCCUGGAACUGAGACCGGGACCAGACUCCUACGGGAGGCAGCAGUGGGGAAUAUUGCACAAUGGGCGCAAGCCUGAUGCAGCCAUGCCGCGUGUAUGAAGAAGGCCUUCGGGUUGUAAAGUACUUUCAGCUGGGAGGCGUUACCCUCAGAAAAAGCACCGGCUAACUCCGUGCCAGCAGCCGCGGUAAUAC